rnacentral:tRNA from 1 species
GUUUUUAUGGUGUAAUUAACAUAUUGAAUUUUCUUUUCAAAGAUUUAUUAAAAAUU